UACGUAGGGUCCGAGCGCUGUCCGGAAUUACUGGGCGUAAAGAGCUCGUAGGUGGUUUGUCGCGUUGUUCGUGAAAACUCACAGCUUAACUGUGGGCGUGCGGGCGAUACGGGCAGACUGGAGUACUGCAGGGGAGGCUGGAAUUCCUGGUGUAGCGGUGGAAUGCGCAGAUAUCAGGAGGAACACCGGUGGCGAAGGCGGGUCUCUGGGCAGUAACUGACGCUGAGGAGCGAAAGCGUGGGGAGCGAACAGG
rnacentral:rRNA from 1 species